UACCAGCACCCCGAGUGGUCGGGACGUUUAUUGGGCCUAAAGCACCCGUAGCCGGUUCUACAAGUCUUCCGUUAAAUCCACCUGCUCAACAGAUGGGCUGCGGAAGAUACUAUGGAGCUAGGAGGCGGGAGAGGCAAGCGGUACUCGAUGGGUAGGGGUAAAAUCCGUUGAUCCAUUGAAGACCACCAGUGGCGAAGGCGGCUUGCCAGAACGCGCUCGACGGUGAGGGAUGAAAGCUGGGGAAGCAAACCGG
rnacentral:rRNA from 1 species